GGUUAAGCGACUAAGCGUACACGGUGGAUGCCCUGGCAGUCAGAGGCGAUGAAGGGCGUGCUAAUCUGCGAUAAGCGCCGGUAAGGUGAUAUGAACCGUUAUAACCGGCGAUACCCGAAUGGGGAAACCCAGUGUGACUCGUCACACUAUCAUUAACUGAAUCCAUAGGUUAAUGAGGCGAACCGGGGGAACUGAAACAUCUAAGUACCCCGAGGAAAAGAAAUCAACCGAGAUUCCCCCAGUAGCGGCGAGCGAACGGGGAGGAGCCCAGAGCCUGAAUCAGCAUGUGUGUUAGUGGAAGCGUCUGGAAAGGCGCGCGAUACAGGGUGACAGCCCCGUACACAAAAGCGCAUGUGCUGUGAGCUCGAUGAGUAGGGCGGGACACGUGGUAUCCUGUCUGAAUAUGGGGGGACCAUCCUCCAAGGCUAAAUACUCCUGACUGACCGAUAGUGAACCAGUACCGUGAGGGAAAGGCGAAAAGAACCCCGGCGAGGGGAGUGAAAAAGAACCUGAAACCGUGUACGUACAAGCAGUGGGAGCCCCACCACCAAAGCAUUUGCUGUACCGCGUUGACGGAGCGAAGCGACGUCAAACCGAUAAAACAGCAGUGUAAAGUGAGCCGCAGGGCGCUUUGCGCGACAGCGCAAAGGCAGGCGGUUUCGCGUAGCGAAAGCGAAUGCUUUGGGGUGGGGUGACUGCGUACCUUUUGUAUAAUGGGUCAGCGACUUAUAUUCUGUAGCAAGGUUAACCGAAUAGGGGAGCCGGAGGGAAACCGAGUCUUAAUUGGGCGUUAAGUUGCAGGGUAUAGACCCGAAACCCGGUGAUCUAGCCAUGGGCAGGUUGAAGGUUGGGUAACACUAACUGGAGGACCGAACCGACUAAUGUUGAAAAAUUAGCGGAUGACCUGUGGCUGGGGGUGAAAGGCCAAUCAAACCGGGAGAUAGCUGGUUCUCCCCGAAAGCUAUUUAGGUAGCGCCUCGUGAAUUCAUCUCCGGGGGUAGAGCACUGUUUCGGCUAGGGGGCCAUCCCGGCUUACCAACCCGAUGCAAACUGCGAAUACCGGAGAAUGUUAUCACGGGAGACACACGGCGGGUGCUAACGUCCGUCGUGAAGAGGGAAACAACCCAGACCGCCAGCUAAGGUCCCAAAGUCAUGGUUAAGUGGGAAACGAUGUGGGAAGGCCCAGACAGCCAGGAUGUUGGCUUAGAAGCAGCCAUCAUUUAAAGAAAGCGUAAUAGCUCACUGGUCGAGUCGGCCUGCGCGGAAGAUGUAACGGGGCUAAACCAUGCACCGAAGCUGCGGCAGCGACACUGUGUGUUGUUGGGUAGGGGAGCGUUCUGUAAGCCUGUGAAGGUGUGUCGUGAGGCAUGCUGGAGGUAUCAGAAGUGCGAAUGCUGACAUAAGUAACGAUAAAGCGGGUGAAAAGCCCGCUCGCCGGAAGACCAAGGGUUCCUGUCCAACGUUAAUCGGGGCAGGGUGAGUCGACCCCUAAGGCGAGGCCGAAAGGCGUAGUCGAUGGGAAACGGGUUAAUAUUCCCGUACUUGGUGUUACUGCGAAGGGGGGACGGAGAAGGCUAUGUUGGCCGGGCGACGGUUGUCCCGGUUUAAGCGUGUAGGUGUGUGUUCCAGGUAAAUCCGGUUCACUUUAACACUGAGGCGUGACGACGAGGCACUACGGUGCUGAAGCAACAAAUGCCCUGCUUCCAGGAAAAGCCUCUAAGCAUCAGGUAACAUCAAAUCGUACCCCAAACCGACACAGGUGGUCAGGUAGAGAAUACCAAGGCGCUUGAGAGAACUCGGGUGAAGGAACUAGGCAAAAUGGUGCCGUAACUUCGGGAGAAGGCACGCUGACACGUAGGUGAAGUGAUUUACUCAUGGAGCUGAAGUCAGUCGAAGAUACCAGCUGGCUGCAACUGUUUAUUAAAAACACAGCACUGUGCAAACACGAAAGUGGACGUAUACGGUGUGACGCCUGCCCGGUGCCGGAAGGUUAAUUGAUGGGGUCAGCGCAAGCGAAGCUCCUGAUCGAAGCCCCGGUAAACGGCGGCCGUAACUAUAACGGUCCUAAGGUAGCGAAAUUCCUUGUCGGGUAAGUUCCGACCUGCACGAAUGGCGUAAUGAUGGCCAGGCUGUCUCCACCCGAGACUCAGUGAAAUUGAACUCGCUGUGAAGAUGCAGUGUACCCGCGGCAAGACGGAAAGACCCCGUGAACCUUUACUAUAGCUUGACACUGAACAUUGAGCCUUGAUGUGUAGGAUAGGUGGGAGGCUUUGAAGUGUGGACGCCAGUCUGCAUGGAGCCGACCUUGAAAUACCACCCUUUAAUGUUUGAUGUUCUAACGUGGACCCGUUACCCGGGUUGCGGACAGUGUCUGGUGGGUAGUUUGACUGGGGCGGUCUCCUCCUAAAGAGUAACGGAGGAGCACGAAGGUUGGCUAAUCCUGGUCGGACAUCAGGAGGUUAGUGCAAUGGCAUAAGCCAGCUUGACUGCGAGCGUGACGGCGCGAGCAGGUGCGAAAGCAGGUCAUAGUGAUCCGGUGGUUCUGAAUGGAAGGGCCAUCGCUCAACGGAUAAAAGGUACUCCGGGGAUAACAGGCUGAUACCGCCCAAGAGUUCAUAUCGACGGCGGUGUUUGGCACCUCGAUGUCGGCUCAUCACAUCCUGGGGCUGAAGUAGGUCCCAAGGGUAUGGCUGUUCGCCAUUUAAAGUGGUACGCGAGCUGGGUUUAGAACGUCGUGAGACAGUUCGGUCCCUAUCUGCCGUGGGCGCUGGAGAACUGAGGGGGGCUGCUCCUAGUACGAGAGGACCGGAGUGGACGCAUCACUGGUGUUCGGGUUGUCAUGCCAAUGGCACUGCCCGGUAGCUAAAUGCGGAAGAGAUAAGUGCUGAAAGCAUCUAAGCACGAAACUUGCCCCGAGAUGAGUUCUCCCUGAGACUUAAAGUCUCCUGAAGGAACGUUGAAGACGACGACGUUGAUAGGCCGGGUGUGUAAGCGCAGCGAUGCGUUGAGCUAACCGGUACUAAUGAACCGUGAGGCUUAACCUU
rnacentral:rRNA from 1 species